UUGUCUUCAAAGAUUAAGCCAUGCAUGUCUAAGUACAAGCCGCUCCGUCGGCGAAACCGCGAAUGGCUCAAUAAAUCAGUUAUGGUUCCUUAGAUCCACCCCAUCCUACUUGGAUAACUGUGGUAAUUCUAGAGCUAAUACAUGCACUCGAGCCCCGACUUCGGACUUUCGGGUCCUUCUUAGAAGGGGCGCUUUUAUUAGAUCAAAACCAGUCGAGGUGUCGGCGGGUAACACCGUCGGCUCCUCGUACAUAACCUUUUGGUGACUCUGGAUAACUUCCUCGCGGAUCGCACGGUCUUCGCACCGGCGACGCGUCUUUCAAAUGUCUGCCUUAUCAACUGUCGAUGGUAGGUUACGCGCCUACCAUGGUUGCAACGGGUAACGGGGAAUCGGGGUUCGAUUCCGGAGAGGGAGCCUGAGAAACGGCUACCACAUCCAAGGAAGGCAGCAGGCGCGCAAAUUACCCACUCCCGGCACGGGGAGGUAGUGACGAAAAAUAACGAUACGGGACUCUUCCGAGGCCCCGUGAUUGGAAUGAGUACACUUUAAAUCCUUUAACCAGGACCCAUUGGAGGGCAAGUCUGGUGCCAGCAGCCGCGGUAACUCCAGCUCCAAUAGCGUAUAUUAAAGUUGUUGCGGUUAAAAAGCUCGUAGUCGGAUGUCUGUCUUCGGCCGGGCGGCGCCCGCUCUGAAUCAAGGGUGGGCGCUUUAAAUUGCUCUGGGAGCGGGGUGUCGAAGCCUCGCUCUCUUCACGGUCGGACAACACCGCCGGAGUGGUGGUGUUCGGCUUCCGCGGCAAACUGGCCGGGCAACCGGUACAGAGGCUCGGAGGUCGACCCACCCGUAAUCGUUCGGGGUGCCUUUAACCAGGUGUCUCGGGCGGCCGGCAACGUUUACUUUGAACAAAUUAGAGUGCUCAAAGCAGGUGCAACCCUUCGCCUGAAUAUUACAGCAUGGAAUGAUGGAAGAGGACCUCGGUCUUAUUUUGCUGGUCUUUCUCUUUAGACCCGAGGUAAUGGUCAAUAGAGACGGACGGGGGCAUCCGUACUGCGGCGACAGAGGUGAAAUUCUUGGACCGCCGCAAGACGAACGACAGCGAAGGCAUUUGCCAAGAAUGUUUUCCUUGAUCAAGAACGAAAGUUAGAGGUUCGAAGGCGAUCAGAUACCGCCCUAGUUCUAACCAUAAACGAUGCCAACCAGCGAUCCGCCGGUGUUACUCCCAUGACUCGGCGGGCGGCUUCCGGGAAACCAAAGUCUUUGGGUUCCGGGGGAAGUAUGGUUGCAAAGCUGAAACUUAAAGGAAUUGACGGAAGGGCACCACCAGGAGUGGAGCCUGCGGCUUAAUUUGACUCAACACGGGAAACCUCACCAGGCCCGGACACUGGAAGGAUUGACAGAUUGAGAGCUCUUUCUUGAUUCGGUGGGUGGUGGUGCAUGGCCGUUCUUAGUUGGUGGACGAUUUGUCUGGUUAAUUCCGAUAACGAACGAGACUCUAGCCUGCUAAAUAGGUGGCGGGUUUUUUUUUUUCUAAAAAAAACUUGGGGGUUUUCGGUGGGUUCGGGAACCGGCGGGGUUCGGGGGAGGGUUGGUUUUCCUUCUUUCGGUCGGGUUGUUUGUCGGCGUUGUUGUUGGGGAGGGGUGUCGCAAGGCAUUCUUUUUYUGCAGCGGCGUCGGCCGGCUUUUCGGUCGGAGGUGGGUGGCUGAUUUUUUYUCGGGCUUYGUCCCCGGAUCUUUUACCGGCUCUCGCGUCCGUCACAGCUCUUYUUAGAGGGACAARCGGCGUCCAGCCGCGUGACAGUGAGCAAUAACAGGUYUGUGAUGCCCUUAGAUGUCCUGGGCCGCACGCGCGCUACACUGAAGGAAUCAGCGUGUUUCACUCCCCCUGUCCGAAAGGACCGGGUAACCGCUGAACCUCCUUCGUGGUUGGGAUUGGGGACUGCAAUGAUCCCCAUGAACCMGGAAUCCCUAGUAGGCGCGGGUCACUAGCCCGCGUCGAUUACGUCCCUGCCCUUUGUACACACCGCCCGUCGCUACUACCGAUUGAAUGAUUUAGUGAGGCCUUCGGACGGGCCCGUCGGGUUGUUUCUGGUCGGGGGAGCAAUCUCUCGGCCAGAGCUUCUAUUCACGGCGGGACUGAAAGAUGGUCGAACUUGAUCCUUUAGAGGAAGUAAAAGUCGUAACAAGGUUUCCGUAGGUGAACCUGCAGAUGGAUCAGUUA
rnacentral:rRNA from 1 species